rnacentral:rRNA from 1 species
UACGGAGGGAGCUAGCGUUGUUCGGAAAUACUGGGCGUAAAGCGCACGUAGGCGGCGCGGCAAGUCAGGGGUGAAAUCCCGGGGCUCAACCCCGGAACUGCCUUGAAACUGCAGUGCUAGAAUCUUGGAGAGGCGAGUGGAAUUCCGAGUGUAGAGGUGAAAUUCGUAGAUAUUCGGAAGAACACCAGUGGCGAAGGCGACUCGCUGGACAAGUAUUGACGCUGAGGUGCGAAAGCGUGGGGAGCGAACAGG